CUUUUAUAAAGAUAUGUGGUGAAAAAGUAUAUACUAUUUCAUGUUGCAUGAUCCCUGACAUUAGAAAAACUACUUGCAUGAGGGUCUAGAACCAUCCUGUUCUGAUUUUGUCAUCAAAUAAAAGUGCGUAAAUUCGAAGCCUUGACCUUUUCAAGGUCAGCAAGAGAGACUGGAGAAUUUAUCCCACCUGGGAUCUGAUUCAUCCUCUGCAGGUGAUGCUGGAGGAAGCUUCCUUGUACAACGUGCAGGUGGGAGAAGCCAGACCAUGGAGCUGCCCAUUACUUCUGUGCUUCUCUGGAGAGCUCAAGGGGGCAUUGAUUGGCUCUGUCUCAGGCACUCUGAGGAACAGUCACUGGAAUAUCACAGAACAGGAGUCAAGCUGCUAUCUUCAGGUGAUAGUUCUGAAGCAGGCAGAGGAACAGUGGGGAGAACCACAAAUCUCAGCUUGAGAGCCCAGGAGAGAAAUCUCAGCAUCACGCCAAUGGAAGAAUUUUGUUAUCCCUUCUCUUGGGAGAAAGGCAACAGAGAUGAGGACUGAGAUGUGGAAGAACACUUUCCUGGGCAGGGCACAGCUUGUGGAAAUAUGUCACAUUUCUGUGGUGCAGCAGAGUGGGAGGCAGCAAAUCUGGAUCUUAUUACCAGUUUGGCCAUAGUCUUCCUGUGUGAACAUGGUUACAGGUCCCUGAGAGAGUACAUGUAAAGUUUUCACUGGAAGCUACACAGCUGAAGCACUGGCAACAGAAUAAGCAGAAUAUGCUUGGCUGUCAUUUUACCAGUUUUCUUUGCUGCAGUCCUAACGUGCAUGAAAGAAGGGAUAUUGGUUGGCAACCCCAUGCAGAUGAAACAGUUCGAUCUGGACAAUGAAAACCUAGGGAAGUUUCAGGUGAAGAUUCUCCUGUGGUUUGCUUCUCUAGGUGAUGAAAUAAUUUCCUGAAGGAAGUGAAGAAACUACCCCACAAUGUCGAAUCGUUUAAAGGUACUUGAUUGUCAAAUAUUGUGCAUCUUAACUUUGUCUUGGUGUUUGGCCUUGCAGAUCUCUUCCACUUCCAACCUUUUUCAAAGAAUCAAUAGAUGCUGCAUCUAAUAAUGAUAAUGAGUAUGUAUUAAAGACAUAUUAUCUGGAGCUGGAAGCUGAAGGCCAGACCUGAAAGCAUUGCAAAACUCAGCUGUACUUGCAUACUCCCUGAAUAUACACUGCUGUUAAGCCCAUGUGCGCAAUCUUGAAGACAAGGACCAGAAAACUCAUUGAGAUUUUGAAACAACAAUAAUAUAAAGCCCAUUGCAAGAUUUAAUAUAAAAUCUGAACAGUAAAGAAUUCUGUGAUGUAUCUGGUUCUUGUUUGAUGUACUUCUACUGCCACAGUUAAUAUAGCAUUUGCAGUGUACACAUAAAGCAGAUACACCCAGAUUCCUCUCUAAAAGAGUUAAAUUAAUUUAUAGUCAUGUAUGCUAUCUUUUCUGUUGUUUUUUCCCUCACAGUUUCUAUAGGCUGUAUUUAGUUAAUGUAAGUUCUUCUUAACCAUCUUCCACAAAUUUUUCUGUUAUAUUAUGGUAGAGGUAGAUGAUUAUAAAGGAGGCUAUAAAGAUUCUUCUAAGAAAUUUCUAAGCAUGAAGGGAGUCCCUUUUUAUUGGUAAUUACCAAAGUCUAUGAGAAUGUACCUCAAACGAGGUAUUCGGAGACAUAUUUUUCUACACUUAGGAACUAAUGGUUAUAUAUUUCAGUACAGCAGAGCAAAAUUCACCCUUCUGUACAACAUCAGUCAAAGUCUUCAAAAUAUUUCAGCCCCCAAAGUAGAAUUAAAGUAGUAUAAAUUUUCCUAAUGGCUGGUGCCAACUCUUCAGACAUAAGGUUCAAUUUCAGCCUUACUUCUUCUGUAUACUUGUGAAUACCAGUGAGCUGAGGAUUUUCUUGGUUUUGCUGCAGACACGCUGCAUGUCUGUGUGAGCAUUUUCUGCAAGAUCUGCCGAAAGACAGGAACGUACAAAGCCUGUUUUACAGGCUGUCACGUUUGGCCAAGGUCAGUCUGACCUGAGUAUUUGGGAUGCUUAGAGCAAUAACCCCAUUAAUAUCUAUGUUCUUGUGUUCAGCAGCAAGCUGAUGACUUUGACUGGCUUACUUAUGGUUCUCCUGCAAGCCUCAGGAACAACAUUGUUGAGAAUUUCAUUUGUAUUUUUGUUGGUUGGUGCAUAUGUGUUCUCCAGUUGCAUCCUGAAGUGCUUUGUUUCAUAACUAGUGUGUUGAUACUGGAUCCCAGUGCUGUUGCUGCUAGCCGUUCCUCCCUCUCCCGGUUCUCUCACUGGCUUCCUGCUACACUGUUGGGGAAAAAAGAGUCAGUAUGUUGGGGACAUCCUCCAUCGAACUCUCUGCUCUGCUGGAGGGGCUGAGGAAGGACCAGAGGAGCAGUCUGUUGACAGCUUGUGUCUCUGCCUCUCCAGUGCUUCCAGGAAGGAUGAUGCUGGAUCUCAGCACAGAGUAUGAGUUCCUUGCUCCUCUGUGCUUGCUUUUCCAGGCAAAAUGGAGCACCCCAGGACCACGCAUCAACCCCUGAUGGUCAGCAUGCCAUACACUGUCUGCUGCUUUCCUUCAGCUGAGAGCCCUGGGGGGUGCAGGACAGGAGCCGUUGAUGGCCUUGGCACUAAACCCCUGAGAUGCCUGCAUGCUAGCGGAGCCCUGGCAGAUAUGAACACAGAGCCUUCUUCCCAAAAUCUGCAUGAACCCUGAAUGCAGUUAUGUUAAAGUGAUGUUUUGUUAGCUACUUAACAUUGUUUCACCCUUUGUAAAAUGGCAUCGUCACUGGGAAAUGCCUUGAAAUUUUUAUCUAGAAACUGUUUUAAAAUUGGAAUGUUAUUAUUACUAGGUUACUGUAGAACUAGAAAAAAAAUUACCAUGGACUUUUCCUCAUAUAUGUUUAUGCCUAGAAGGCAGCCUGCAUGGGCCCGUAUCUAGACAGACUCAUGGACACAGUCUUUGUCAAGGCAUAAAUCAUUUUAGAGGCUUGCUAGGUUUACUUCAGACAGUUCCAUCUUCUCUAUUUGGAACAGGCUGUGUUAUCAGCCUAAUUGCAGCCAUUAAACCAUUUGCGGCCGGAAUUUUUUGUUUGUGUGUUAACAUCAAUGUUGGCAGGAAAAUGAUCACUAGAGGUGAUGCUAACUAUAAAAUAUGUAAUUGCUCUCCAGUAACAGUGACUAAGGGCUUUAAAGGAGAAACAGGACCCUAUAAAAGCUGCUCAUUCUGAUUCUAAAAGGAUCAGAUAAAAUAAGGAACCUGCUCUGAACAGUUGGGAUGAUUUUGUGAGGAGAUACAUGGCUUGGGCAAUCUGAUUAUGGGCCAUCUGCAUCUCAUACCUCCUUGGAGGCCGUAUUUGAUGUUUAAUGUUUUUUCUUUGGGGUUGCACCAUCUUUUGCUUUCAGCUCUCUACACUGAUGAGUUUUUGAUAGCUUCUUGUACAAAGCAGUGCAUUUUAACGGUUUUGCCUAACUAGAACUAAAUUAGUUUAUAUGAAGCAAGGGCAUACCUUUCUGACAAAGAUCUCUCUAAUCCAUUAUGUUGUGUUACAUGUCUAUUGAUCUUUUUUUAUAAGUGCAGUGAUUUGGUAAUUAUCUUUAAAUCCUUUCUUUUCUGACCGUGCAGUGUUUAAUGUGUGGUUUUAUUGAUUAAAUAAUAGCAUACACUUAAUGUAACAACAAUGUGUUUCUUGCAAGAUCUUCCUCAUUAAUAAAUUAGAUGCACCAUGUAUUCAAGCAUGGUAUCAGUUAAGCUGACAGGCACAGAGGAUGUUGCUGGCCUGGUUCUGGUACAAGUGUGCAAGUAGGUAUGUAACACUGUGCAUUGCGAUGUUCAAUACAAAUUCGAUUACCUCAGCAAAGUUGCUGUAAGGGGAGAAAACUUUUUUACAUCUUGCAGUGAAUAUUGCUGAGGGUGAGUGGUUUUUUUAACGGCAUUUUCAUUGUUGUCAGGACUGGUAUUGUAAAGAUAACUGGAAUUUCUGGUGUGGCCAUGCAAAGACAUAGAAUCUGCUGUCCUACGCACUGUGGUGUUCUCUAGAGUUAUAACACAACAGCAAUUUGUGGAAACCAGGGAGAAAAUACAUUUAUCAGAUAAUCCUAAAUAUUUUCAGUGGUGUUACUUUGUUUCCCUUUCAAAUUAUAAACACACUUGCCUAUAUGCCUCCCUCUUUUGCAGCACUGUUGCCAGUUACUCCAUUCUCUGUUUCUUUAUGUAUUGAGUCUGGCUGAGAUGGAGUUAAUUUUCCCCACAGCAGCGCUCACGGUGCUGUGCUUUGUAUUGGUGGCUAGAAAGGUGUUUGUGACACACCAGUGUUUUGGCUACUGCU